rnacentral:lncRNA from 1 species
UUCUGGAAUGAGGCUUUAAAGCACUAAAAGUAUUUAAGAAAUGCAAAUAUACUGUAUACAUAUACUACAUGCAUUUUCUAGCACAGUUUAAAUACACUGAAGAGCACCUUUUUUCAACCUGGGCAAUAUAUAGGUAUCUAACCCAUCUACUCAGGGUUUUAGUUUGGCAAUGUGGGCCAAUUUAUUUCAUUUUUAUCCCACAUUCCUCUUGCAGUCUGCAUUCUAAAUGUAUAUCUCUCUUUUCCUAUGACCUUCCAUCUGUCUGUGUUUCUGUCUUGUCCACCCCCUCCCCUUCAGCUCCCUCUAAUGUUGCCCUGGUGAAUGUGAAAACCCGCAAUGAGACUCACAUAGAGCUAGAGUGGACCAAAGUCGACAACAUCAACACUUACGCACUGAAAUCGAGCGAUGAACCAGAAACCCUCAUCACUGGAUUAGACGGGAACACAGUGACACACACUGUGUCAUCUCUCUCUGCUGGAACUAACUACUCGUUCACUCUCUUCACGGUGUUAGAGGAACUGAGAAGCACAGGAUUUGAGUUCUCAGCAGUUACAGGUAUGUCUCUUUUUUUGAUUGCGAAAUUUCAAGGAAGUUGCUUUUUUUCUCCCCAACACUUGAAAACCUGUGUCAGCUAGCUCAUAAUAAAUUACACUGUGUAAUGUAUAUCUAGCAUGUCGCCAACAACAUUUUAUUAGAUUACUCAUACUCUACAUUCAAAAGCUUGGAAAACAAUGUACUGUAUAUGGGCUGAAAACGCGAGCAGUAUUUCAGCUAAAUAAAUUUGUUUCUUUUUUUUCUUAUUCUUUGGUUAUGUUAGCGUUCAUCUCCGAUGUCACAAUAAAUGAAACUAUUUUUAAAAUAGUCAUAUUUGUGUAAAUAGAAUUGAGCUCACUAGAACAUUUUUAAUUCUUCUGGAAUGGGGCUUUAAAGCACUAAAAGUAUUUAAGAAAUGCAAAUAUACUGUAUACAUAUACUACAUGCAUUUUCUAGCACAGUUUAAAUACACUGAAGAGCACCUUUUUUCAACCUGGGCAAUAUAUAGGUAUCUAACCCAUCUACUCAGGGUUUUAGUUUGGCAAUGUGGGCCAAUUUAUUUCAUUUUUAUCCCACAUUCCUCUUGCAGUCUGCAUUCUAAAUGUAUAUCUCUCUUUUCCUAUGACCUUUCAUCUGUCUGUGUUUCUGUCUUGUCCACCCCCUCCCCUUCAGCUCCCCCUACUGUUACCCUGGUGAUUGUGAAAACCCGCUCUGAGACUGAUAUAGAGCUAGAGUGGACCAAAGUCAGCGACAUCAACCCUUAUACUUACAUAUUGAAACGGACCGGUGGAACAGAUACCCCCAUCCCUGGACCAGCUGGGAACAAAGUGACUCACACAGUGUCAUCUCUCUCUGCUGGAACAGAAUACUCGUUCACUCUCUUCACGGUGUUUGAGGACGCGAGAAGCACAGGACAUGACUUCUCAGAAGUUACAGCUCCCUCUAAUGUUGCCCUGGUGAAUGUGAAAACCCGCAAUGAGACUCACAUAGAGCUAGAGUGGACCAAAGUCAACAACAUCAACACUUACGCACUGAAAUCGAGCGAUGAAACAGAAACCCCCAUCACUGGAUUAGAUGGGAGCACAGCAGUGACACACACAGUGUCAUCUCUCUCUGCUGGAACAAAAUACUCGUUCACUCUCUUCACGGUGUUUGAGGGAGUGAGAAGCACAGGAUUUGAGUUCCCAGCAGUUACAGGUAUGUCUCUUUUUUUGAUUGCGAAAUUUCAAGGAAGUUGCUUUUUUUCUUCCCAACACUUGAAAACCUGUGUCAGCUAGCUCAUAAUAAAUUACACUGUGUAAUGUAUAUCUAGCA